GAUGAACGCUGGCGGCGUGCCUAAUACAUGCAAGUCGAGCGAACGGACGAGAAGCUUGCUUCUCUGAUGUUAGCGGCGGACGGGUGAGUAACACGUGGAUAACCUACCUAUAAGACUGGGAUAACUUCGGGAAACCGGAGCUAAUACCGGAUAAUAUUUUGAACCGCAUGGUUCAAAAGUGAAAGACGGUCUUGCUGUCACUUAUAGAUGGAUCCGCGCUGCAUUAGCUAGUUGGUAAGGUAACGGCUUACCAAGGCAACGAUGCAUAGCCGACCUGAGAGGGGGAGCCGCCCCACCGGAAACGUGAACCGGGCCCGACCCCCACCGGGGGGCACAGUGGGGAAUUCUUCCGCAAGGGGCAAAGCCCUAAGGGGGCAACCCGGGGGGGGGAAUAAGGGUUUUGGGUUCUUAAACCUUGUUAUUAGGGAAAAAAAAAAUUGUAAGGAAACAUGCACCUUUUUGCCGGUCCCAAAUCAAAAGCCCCCGGCUAACUCGUU
rnacentral:rRNA from 1 species